rnacentral:lncRNA from 1 species
AUUAAUACUUGCGAUGUACACUUAACAAUCACCUUUCAAGUGUCAUGUGAUUAUUGAGACUUUAUAACAUAUUAGACGAAGAGGUUCUUCCGAAUAUGGAAUGCAAGAGCAAAAGUGGAAAUCCCAGUAUUGUAAGAGAAGGGCCAGCUCAUCCAAGCGGAGCUAAGAGGUGGUGCAUUUCUAGGUCGCUGAGGAACAAAGUCUACUCCCCGAGUAGUUUACUUGAAUUGCCUCGUGGAUGUAGGGAUGUGAUUUGUUGUAACGGUAUCUUAGAAAAGAAAGUGAUUUAGUUGUACUCUAGUUUCAAAAUCAAGCCUUGUGGAGUGUUGAGUCGAGUAGUAAUUGAUCUUAUACAUUUGUUUUUAAUGUAAUGUAAAUUCAGACUUAUCGUAGUCUUUUGAAGAGGU